rnacentral:rRNA from 1 species
UGACGCAGCGACGCCGCGUGGGCGAUGAAGCUUCUUGGAGUGUAAAGCCCUGUCAGGAGGGAAGAACGUUCCGCUUAUGGCGGAAUUGACGGUACCUCCAGAGGAAGCCCCGGCUAACUCCGUGCCAGCAGCCGCGGUAAUACGGAGGGGGCGAGCGUUGUUCGGAAUCACUGGGCGUAAAGGGUGCGCAGGCGGAUCGGCCAGUCGAAUGUGAAACCUCCGGGCUCAACCCGGAGCCUGCAUCCGAAACUGCCGAUCUUGAGUACGGGGGAGGGAAGUGGAA